AGGCACCAUUUGAUGUACACAUUCACAUCUACGGGCAAUUUAGAAUUGUGAAGUGGGAGAAAAACGGAGAACGUGACUACAGGGUGUUACAACCCGCUAAUCUUUGGGAUGGGAAGCCUUUUUUUGUGUGUGUAUUGUGUCAUGUUUUGUGUGCAGGUCUGAACUCACUCCCAGAGUUUCCAGCCUCCCAUGAUGACAUCACUAAAAGGCAACCAUAUUUGAAGAGACAGAGAGAUGUUGUUUGAGGUGGUUACUUGUGAUUUGGUGUUAGGAGAUUGCGUUUGGUUUGUAUUGCUUGCCCUUGUGGUUAUAGUAUUCUUUGUUUUGGUUCUGACUGAGAGUAUGGUUCUCCCUGUACCUGUUUGUGUAUAUAUUCACCCCUGUGUAUAUGUUUCAUUUGGUUUACCAGCAGUAGGGGUGUGGCUGCCAUUUCUUUUAGGAGUGGGGUCCUUUUUUUGUCUCUGUUUUUGGAUUAGGGUGUUCGGGAAGUACAUUCGUAUUUUUCUUGUCUCUCUUUUAGGUAAAAAAAAUAAAUAAAUAAAAAUCUAUAAACCAAAAGUUCUUUUGUUUAUUAUUUUGGCCUUGGCCCACCCUGAAGAUACGCCUGGUGUUGUGUGCUAUGUAUAUUUAUAUAUACACUUGCCGAUUUGUACAAUAUACCAGAACUUCAUUGAAAUCUGUUUGUGUCUGACGUUCCUGGCUUCCCUGCAUUAGGUCUUUCCCUUUGAACCGCGAGAUGGUUACUCCGUACGACUCAACCUAGACUGGGUCGUAAGACAUGCACAGAAACUCCACACAGACAGCAACCUGAGCUUCGGAUCAAACGGGGAACCCUGGAGCUGAGUGAUGGCAACACCACUACUGUGAAACCAUGCUGUCUGUAACUCAUCACCACAUUGUUGGGUCAGGUUCUCUGGUGAUAAUAUACUGUGCACUGGAAGUCACAACAUGCCUGAAAAGAAGUUACAUGUGUAACUGCGGUUCUAUCGACCUCGGAUUACCA
ensembl:lncRNA